UGUGCCUUUUUUUAAGGAUAU
rnacentral:piRNA from 1 species